GUUGUAUAGUCAAGUAAUUAAGUGCAUGUGGUGGAUGCCUUGGCAGUCAGAGGCGAUGAAAGACGUGAUAGCCUGCGAAAAGCUCCGGGGAGGCGGCAAAUAUCCUUUGAUCCGGAGAUGUCUGAAUGGGGGAACCCACCUACUUUAAGGUAGGUAUUGCAACAUGAAUACAUAGUGUUGCAAGGCGAACGAGGGGAAGUGAAACAUCUCAGUACCCUUAGGAAAAGAAAUCAAUUGAGAUUCCCUCAGUAGCGGCGAGCGAACGGGGAUCAGCCCAUUAAGUUAUGUGUGUUUUAGUGGAACGCUCUGGGAAGUGCGAACGUAGAGGGUGAUAUUCCCGUACACGAAAGGGCACACAUAAUGAUGACGAGUAGGGCGAGGCACGUGAAACCUUGUCUGAAUAUGGGGGACCAUCCUCCAAGGCUAAAUACUCCUGACUGACCGAUAGUGAACCAGUACCGUGAGGGAAAGGCGAAAAGAACCCCUGUGAGGGGAGUGAAAUAGAUCCUGAAACCGCAUGCAUACAAGCAGUGGGAGCACCUUCGUGGUGUGACUGCGUACCUUUUGUAUAAUGGGUCAGCGACUUAUAUUCAGUAGCGAGGUUAACCGUAUAGGGGAGCCGUAGAGAAAUCGAGUCUUAAUAGGGCGUUUAGUUGCUGGGUAUAGACCCGAAACCAGGCGAUCUAUCCAUGAGCAGGUUGAAGGUUGGGUAACACUAACUGGAGGACCGAACCCACUGUCGUUGAAAAGCCAGGGGAUGACUUGUGGAUAGGGGGUGAAAGGCUAAUCAAGCCUGGUGAUAGCUGGUUCUCCCCGAAAGCUAUUUAGGUAGCGCCUCGGACGAAUACCAUAGGGGGUAGAGCACUGUUUCGGCUAGGGGGUCAUCCCGACUUACCAAACCGAUGCAAACUCCGAAUACCUAUGAGUACUAUCCGGGAGACAGACUGCGGGUGCUAACGUCCGUAGUCAAGAGGAAAACAAUCCAGACCGCCAGCUAAGGCCCCAAAAUCAUAGUUAAGUGGGAAACGAUGUGGGAAGGCAUAGACAGCUAGGAGGUUGGCUUAGAAGCAGCCACCCUUUAAAGAAAGCGUAAUAGCUCACUAGUCGAGUCGGCCUGCGCGGAAGAUGUAACGGGGCUAAAACUAUGUGCCGAAGCUGCGGAUGUAUACUUUGUAUACGUGGUAGGGGAGCGUUCUGUAAGCCGAUGAAGGUGUGUUGAGAAGCAUGCUGGAGGUAUCAGAAGUGCGAAUGCUGACGUGAGUAACGACAAAACGGGUGAAAAACCCGUUCGCCGAAAGACCAAGGGUUCCAGUCCAACGUUAAUCGGGGCUGGGUGAGUCGACCCCUAAGGCGAGGCCGAAAGGCGUAGUCGAUGGGAAAAUGGUUAAUAUUCCAUUACUUCUGUGUAAUGCGAUGAGAGGACGGAGAAGGCUAAAUCAGCCUGGCGUUGGUUGUCCAGGUGAAAGGAUGUAGGCAUGUAUCUUAGGCAAAUCCGGGGUACUCUAUGCUGAGAUCUGAUAGCAAGCUGUACUUGUACAGCGAAGUGGUUGAUGCCAUGCUUCCAGGAAAAGUCUCUAAGCUUCAGUUACACAGGAAUCGUACCCGAAACCGACACAGGUGGUCAGGUCGAGUAGACCAAGGCGCUUGAGAGAACUCUGCUGAAGGAACUAGGCAAAAAUGGUACCGUAACUUCGGGAGAAGGUACGCUGUUGUUGGUGAUGGAACUCGCUUCCUGAGCUGACGACAGCCGCAGAAACCAGGCCGCUGCAACUGUUUAUUAAAAACAUAGCACUCUGCAAACACGAAAGUGGACGUAUAGGGUGUGAUGCCUGCCCGGUGCUGGAAGGUUAAUUGAUGGGGUUAGCGUAAGCGAAGCUCUUGAUCGAAGCCCCAGUAAACGGCGGCCGUAACUAUAACGGUCCUAAGGUAGCGAAAUUCCUUGUCGGGUAAGUUCCGACCUGCACGAAUGGCAUAAUGAUGGCGGCGCUGUCUCCAGCAGAGGCUCAGUGAAAUCGAAAUCGCUGUGAAGAUGCAGUGUACCCGCGGCUAGACGGAAAGACCCCGUGAACCUUUACUGCAGCUUGACACUGAACUUUGACCUUACUUGUGUAGGAUAGGUGGGAGGCUUUGAAGCUGGAACGCUAGUUCCAGUGGAGCCGUCCUUGAAAUACCACCCUGGUAAUGUUGAGGUUCUAACUCUGUCCCGUGAUCCGGGACGAGGACCGUGUCUGGUGGGUAGUUUGACUGGGGCGGUCUCCUCCUAAAGAGUAACGGAGGAGUACGAAGGUGCGCUCAGCGUGGUCGGAAAUCACGCGUAGAGUAUAAAGGCAAAAGCGCGCUUAACUGCGAGACCCACAAGUCGAGCAGGUACGAAAGUAGGUCUUAGUGAUCCGGUGGUUCUGUAUGGAAGGGCCAUCGCUCAACGGAUAAAAGGUACUCUGGGGAUAACAGGCUGAUACCGCCCAAGAGUUCAUAUCGACGGCGGUGUUUGGCACCUCGAUGUCGGCUCAUCUCAUCCUGGGGCUGAAGCAGGUCCCAAGGGUAUGGCUGUUCGCCAUUUAAAGAGGUACGCGAGCUGGGUUUAGAACGUCGUGAGACAGUUCGGUCCCUAUCUACCGUGGGCGCUGGAAAUUUGAGAGGAUCUGCUCCUAGUACGAGAGGACCAGAGUGGACGAACCUCUGGUGUACCGGUUGUGACGCCAGUCGCAUCGCCGGGUAGCUAUGUUCGGAAGGGAUAACCGCUGAAAGCAUCUAAGCGGGAAGCCUACCUCAAGAUAAGAUUUCCCUAGGACUUUAUGUCCUCUAAAGAGCCGUUCGAGACUAGGACGUUGAUAGGUUGGAUGUGGAAGCAUAGUGAUAUGUGAAGCUGACCAAUACUAAUUGCUCGUGAGGCUUGACUAUACAACACCCAAGCAGUUG
rnacentral:rRNA from 1 species